UACGUAGGGUGCAAGCGUUGUCCGGAAUUAUUGGGCGUAAAGAGCUCGUAGGCGGUUUGUUGCGUCGGCUGUGAAAUCCCGAGGCUCAACCUCGGGUCUGCAGUCGAUACGAGCAAACUAGAGUGUUGCAGGGGAGACUGGAAUUCCCUGGUGUAGACGGUGAAAUGCGCAGAUAUCAGGAGGGAACACCGGUGGCGAAGGCGGGUCUCUGGGCAACAACUGACGCUGGAGGAGCGAAAGCCGUGGGGAGCGAACAGG
rnacentral:rRNA from 1 species